UACGAAGGGUGCAAGCGUUACUCGGAAUUACUGGACGUAAAGCGUGCGUAGGUGGUUGUUUAAGUCUGUUGUGAAAGCCCUGGGCUCAACCUGGGAAUUGCAGUGGAUACUGGGCGACUAGAGUGUGGUAGAGGGUAGUGGAAUUCCCGGUGUAGCAGUGAAAUGCGUAGAGAUCGGGAGGAACAUCCAUGGCGAAGGCAGCUACCUGGACCAACACUGACACUGAGGCACGAAAGCGUGGGGAGCAAACAGG
rnacentral:rRNA from 1 species